rnacentral:rRNA from 1 species
UUAGUUGGUGGAGUGAUUUGUCUGGUUAAUUCCGUUAACGAACGAGACCUUAACCUGCUAAAUAGUCACGUGAGCCUUCUAUUCAGACUUCAGCUCGGGGCAACUUGGGUUGGGGUCGGAACGGCUCUAUGGUUGACUUCUUAGAGGGACUAUUCGUUUCCAGCGAAUGGAAGUUUGAGGCAAUAACAGG